rnacentral:rRNA from 1 species
AUGAGCUCCUUCAUCUACGCCAUCGUGGAGGCCUUCACGGCGACGGGAGACAGCCCUGGGUGGAUCUCCGACGACCUCAACAAGGGCCACCUCGACUACUUCUUCUGGGCCAUGGCUGCAAUGUGCACGCUCAACUUCGUCGUGUACAGCGGAAUCGUCAAGAACUACAGGCUCAAGACGAUCAUCUCGUGA